AGAAAAUUCUGUCACGCCAACUUCUGCAGCAUGACUGUUCUCCCGCACUGAAAGACCUCCCUUGUAUGUCAACGUCAAAAAUCGCAGACCAAUCCAAGAUGUGCCGCCUCCACCUACUUGGCAACCUUAUUCUCACCGUAUGAUUCAUUCCAGUGUUUCAUGGCCUUGCAUUGAACGUGUUGUACUUUAACGCUGGUAAAAUUAAGACAUUCAUCAUGCAGUGAAUGAAGCUGGGCAUCCGGACCCUGAAUUUCCCAUAGGGAGUCCCACACAGUCCGCCAAGUAUACAAGGAUGCAAUGGCAGACGAGGGAAAUGAAUGAGUGUCUACUUCAGCCAGUGUGGCAGUCAGCACAGCUGUCUCAGUCCCAGCGAAUAAGGCAACCAGACGCACAAACUUCACAGUAUGGUAUGCCAAUAGGGAUUCUCCCAAACGAUAUUGUGAUGCGUUGACUGUUGUAUGGUGAACUAACUGCAAAGCAGCUGUGCGUAUCCCAAGCAGAAAUCAACAAGAUGAGCGGCCCCUCCCCCGUACUGCUGCAGUGUAUAUCCUGCACAUGGUAGGAACAUUUUCCUGUAUGUUAGAAGUGCAUUGCAGAUCAUAAUUCAUUCUGUAGUCAGCAUCCUAAAAAAGAAAAAAAAAAGGAUCGCGUACUAUACCAAGCAUGCGAUUCCCUCUGUCAUUACUUUA